ACGAACGCUGGCGGCGUGCUUAACACAUGCAAGUCGAACGGAAAGGCCCCUUUGGGGGUACUCGAGUGGCGAACGGGUGAGUAACACGUGAGUAACCUGCCCUUGACUUCGGGAUAACUUCAGGAAACUGGGGCUAAUACCGGAUAGGAAUCCUUGCUGCAUGGUGGGGGUUGGAAAGCUUCGGCGGUUUUGGAUGGACUCGCGGCUUAUCAGCUUGUUGGUGGGGUAGUGGCUUACCAAGGCGUUGACGGGUAGCCGGCCUGAGAGGGCGACCGGCCACAUUGGGACUGAGAUACGGCCCAGACUCCUACGGGAGGCAGCAGUGGGGAAUAUUGCACAAUGGGCGGAAGCCUGAUGCAGCAACGCCGCGUGCGGGAUGACGGCCUUCGGGUUGUAAACCGCUUUCAGCAGGGGCGAAGCUUGUGGUGACGGUACCUGCAGAAGAAGCACCGGCUAACUACGUG
rnacentral:rRNA from 1 species